AGAAAUCGGUUGCUUACCUGCUUCCCGCGCCUCGCCAGCCACCGGCCACACCCUACUGCCACUGGGCGCCGGAGGAGUAACUUGCCUCUACGCGCGUGUCUGGCCACCGGCUGCUGCUCUGCUCCACCAGCUGGCUGCCGUCGAACACCGCAUCAUGCUAUCCAAGCCGAACCGCGCCGCCAAAGCCGAUCCACUGGAUGCCUGCCGCGAUCCCUUGCCGCUGGGCGCUGGCCACUGUGCUAGGAUCGAGAGAGAGAGAGAGAGAGAGAGAGAGAGAGAGAGAGAGAGAGAGACGGUAGAGAGGGAUCGAGAGAGAGACGGCUGAGAGAUACGGGAGUCAUUGGGAGAGAUAAGAGAGACGAUGGUAGGGCAGGUUCGGGAGAAAUAUCUUUGUAAUUUUACAGUUUGGCCCUUAAUAAAGGUAGAAAUCAUAGAAAGCUCUUUUAGUAAGGUUGGAAGGACAUGAAAUAAAAUAAAAACUUACAUUACAGUCCUUUUGAUAUAUCUUGCAUGUGAGAUCAUUAAAGGUACAAUUGAGCACCAAAAUGACUACAAAGAUCAAGUGUACACUUGAUCGCCAUUUCAAUGAAUGAACUAAAUAGCUUGUAGACAGUUAAAUAGACGGCUCACUGUACAAGCUGUCUUUUUAGCUUUUUGUGUCUAACAUGGCAAAUCAAAUAGACAGCAGCUGUCU
rnacentral:lncRNA from 1 species